rnacentral:lncRNA from 1 species
GACAACUUCCUGUUUACCGAACACUUGUCUGAUUUUACACAUGAUAGCCAAGUUGAAAAUUUUCGUCACAUUUUUCUCAGGAACUACAAUACAAGGAUUUCUUAAAUUAGGUUUCAGGAUUUAUAUAAGUCAGCUAUACCGUGUGAUGCGUUUUCAGAUUCAUCACUCGACAACUUCCUGUUUACCGAACACUUGUAUGAUUUUACACAUGAUAGCCAAGUUGAAAGUUUUCGUCACAUUUUUCUCAGGAACUACAAUACAAGGAUUUCUGAAAUUUGAUUUCAGGAUUUAUAUAAGUCAGCUAUACCGUGUGAUGCGUUUUCAGAUUCAUCACUCGACAACUUCCUGUUUACCGAA